rnacentral:rRNA from 1 species
UCAGCCGCCGCGGUAAAACCAGCACCUCGAGUGGUCAGGAGGUUUAUUGGGCCUAAAGCAUCCGUAGCCGGUUGCAUAAGUUUUCGGUUAAAUCUAUGCGCUUAACGUAUAGGCCGCCGAAAAUACUGUGCAGCUAGGGAGUGGGAGAGGUACACGGUACUCGAUAGGAAGGGGUAAAAUCCUUUGAUCUAUUGAUGACCACCUGUGGCGAAGGCGGUGUACCAGAACACGUUCGACGGUGUGGGGUGAAAGCUGGGGGAGCAAACCGGAUUAGAUACCCGGGUAGUCCCAGCUGUAAACGAUGCAGACUCGGUGAUGCAUUGGCUUGUGGCCAAUGCAGUGCCGCAGGGAAGCCGUUAAGUCUGCCGCCUGGGAAGUACGUACGCAAGUAUGAAACUUAAAGGAAUUGGCGGGGGAGCAC